rnacentral:rRNA from 1 species
UACGUAGGGUGCGAGCGUUGUCCGGAAUUACUGGGCGUAAAGAGCUCGUAGGCGGUCUGUCGCGUCUGCUGUGAAAACCCGGGGCUCAACCCCGGGCUUGCAGUGGAUACGGGCAGACUAGAGUUCGGUAGGGGAGACUGGAAUUCCUGGUGUAGCGGUGGAAUGCGUAGAGAUCCGGAAGAACACCGGUGGCGAAGGCGGCCUGCUGGGCAGUUUGGCUGACACUGAGGCGCGACAGCGUGGGGAGCAAACAGG